rnacentral:rRNA from 1 species
CCUACGGGAGGCAGCAGUGGGGAAUAUUGGACAAUGGGCGAAAGCCUGAUCCAGCAAUGCCGCGUGAGUGAUGAAGGCCUUAGGGUUGUAAAGCUCUUUUACCAGGGAUGAUAAUGACAGUACCUGGAGAAUAAGCUCCGGCUAACUCCGUGCCAGCAGCCGCGGUAAUACGGAGGGAGCUAGCGUUAUUCGGAAUUACUGGGCGUAAAGCGUACGUAGGCGGUUAUUCAAGUCAGAGGUGAAAGCCCGGGGCUCAACCCCGGAACUGCCUUUGAAACUAGAUAACUAGAGUCUUGGAGAGGUUAGUGGAAUUCCGAGUGUAGAGGUGAAAUUCGUAGAUAUUCGGAAGAACACCAGUGGCGAAGGCGACUAACUGGACAAGUACUGACGCUGAGGUACGAAAGCGUGGGGAGCAAACAGGAUUAGAUACCCUGGUAGUCACGCCGUAAACGAUGAUAACUAGCUGUCCGGGCACUUGGUGCCUGGGUGGCGCAGCUAACGCAUUAAGUAUCCGCCUGGGGAGUACGGUCGCAAGAUUAAAAACUCAAAAGUAUAAGUACGGACGNGUAGACGAGCGAACGACGACAACAGGAGGUAAGAG